GUAACUACAGCUUUUUUUUAAAUCAGACGUUCAUUACAGAUGUUUUGGAGCCACAUGGAGUCAUGUUCUGGUGUUACACCUCCACAGCCGUGAGUCAACAGACGAAUCCGAAGAAUCGCAAUUCAUGCUCAAAAAACAGCCGUGAUGGUAAAAAGCAGACUCCGGUGAGGCGUUUUGAUUUUACUACCAAGAUAUCUACAAAGAACUAACCAACGACCCCGAGAGUAAAAACCGAAUCAUCCGAUCGAGGAUUCGACUCAUUUGCAAACGACACUUAAAGACUCCAUCCUGACGAACAGCUGCAAAAAGGCCCUUAAGAGGCUUCUCCGGUGGUUUAUUCGGGGUCCGCACUCGCUCGGGAAGUAAAGAGACAACAUCGUGACAUCGUUAAGUUCCUCGUUACACAAGUAGCACAUGGAGUGUCAGGGAAAUGAUGUGAGAAACAGAAGAGGUGAGGAGGACAUCAGCGGAGUGAUAAUACAGAGCCGAUGCGGUCGUGUUGGCCAUGCAUGUUUGUCAUGCGGUGAGAAGUGAAAAGCUGCUGGUUGGGUUUUUUUACAUUAUUUUGCAGUAUCUGGCUUUUUUUGAGCCCGGAGUUUUGUAGAAUUAUUGAAAGUGUGAACUUUGUGUUCGAACCACGGACUGAUCCGGAGCAAAGACACUGACACAAAGUUCUGACACUGGAGAUUCCUUCCAUAAAUGUUACGUAAAGACAAAUCCACUCCUACAGCAUAUCUGUUUAUUCUUAUUGACCAAUCAGAUACAAGCUUUCAGCACCGUCUGUGAUCACACAGCAUCUUUUCAUCACAUGAACACCUUCACUAUGCGUGUGUGUUAAUGAUAAUGAACACGCCCCUUAUACAUGUCCAUGAUAGAUAGAUAGAUAGAUAGAUAGAUAGAUAGAUAGAUAGAUAGA